GUCAGGAAGAGCUCAAAAUUCCAAGCUGUUAUUAUGACCCCACAGGGGAACUCUGACAUCCCUGUGAGCCAACACUGUGCAUGGGGAAACAGGGCUAUGACUGAAGCAACAUUUGGGCCUAGAAACUCACUGCUGCUGGGCUCGGAAGCCCAGGGAUCUGGCAGGUCUGAGCACAACAGCAGCUCAGGCCCGUCUGUGCGUCCUGAGCUGCCCUGUCCCUCAGCUCUCUUUUACAGAAGAACUGAGGCCCAGAGAAGCUCAGUCAUGUCCCCUGAAGUCACACUGCUGUGUUCUGAGGAUUUGAGCCCAGAUUCUCUUGGUUCUGGGGUCUGAAUACAGAUUGCAUGGCAGCACUCUCCAUCUAGCCUGCAAAACUCAAGGAAAUUCAUCUCCAGUGAGGGAGUUUCGAGUCCCGGCAGUGAGGAGCUCUCUGGAGCAGGGUACUGACCCCAUAGACUUCAUAUGGCUUCACAGCUGCUGGCACCUGCAGCCUCUCCUCCCUGAGUAAGAGAGGAGCAUGGAAAACAGUAUGGCAGGUCCUCAAAAAAUUCAAAAUAGAGCUACCAUGAGAUUCAUCAA